GACGAACGCUGGCGGCGUGCUUAGCACAUGCAAGUCGAACGAUGAAGCCGGAGCUUGCUCUGGUGGAUUAGUGGCGAACGGGUGAGUAACACGUGAGUAACCUGCCCUUGACUCUGGGAUAAGCGUUGGAAACGACGUCUAAUACCGGAUACGAGCUAGGACCGCAUGGUCACUAGCUGGAAAGAACUUCGGUCAAGGAUGGACUCGCGGCCUAUCAGCUAGUUGGUGAGGUAACGGCUCACCAAGGCGACGACGGGUAGCCGGCCUGAGAGGGUGACCGGCCAGACUGGGACUGAGACGCGGCCCAGACUCCUACGGGAGGCAGCAGUGGGGAAUAUUGCACAAUGGGCGCAAGCCUGAUGCAGCAACGCCGCGUGAGGGACGACGGCCUUCGGGUUGUAAACCUCUUUUAGCAGGGAAGAAGCGCAAGUGACGGUACCUGCAGAAAAAGCACCGGCUAACUACGUGCCAGCCGCCGCGGUAAGAC
rnacentral:rRNA from 1 species